AUCACCGUAACCAAGUCCAGUGUGUUCCCUCUAUCUUUCUGUGCCCAUCGUUGGGUAGAAAACCUUCCGGUUGUGGAGAGAGCCCUGGCAGUCUGGCCAUCAUUUCUCCUGUACAUGGAAGCUGUGAAAACAAAGAGACUCCCGAACCCUGGAACAGCAUCAUAUGACACAGUUGCAGCAGCCAUAAAGGAUCCACUCGUCUUGGCCAAAUUGCAGUUCUACGCAGCAAUUGCCAGGACCUUCAAUCCCUUCCUGAAAAAAUAUCAGACGGAUGAGCCUGUGCUCCCAUUCCUCCCCAAAGGACCUGACCGAGUUGAUGAUGUCUACUCAGACGCUUCAUAAAGAGAGAAGUACUACGAUAUCACUGCCCUGCAGCUGACCAAACUGGAUGUCACAGACAAGACCAUCUGGCUCAGCCCACAAGACAUCAGCAUUGGUCUAGGUGCAGAGUCAGUCCUUAAGGGGAUGUCAUACUGCAGCAGUUUGACAGUCUCCUUUCCUUGGAGAGCCGGAGUGAGGACUUCCUCUCCUUUCAAACCAUGCAGACGAGGCUGGACAUCUUCCUGAGCAGCGCCAUGGAGCCUUAUCCCGAGCUGUGGGCCUUCUGCAAGAAGCUGCUCAUCCUCAUCCACGGUCAAGCUACAGUUGAGCGUGGAUUCUCAAUCAAUAAAGAGGUGGAGUCUGAUAACUUGGCGGAGGAUACUGUGGUCACACGGAGACUGGUGUGUGACUACAUCAUACAACAUGGAGGUGUUACCAAGGUUCCACUCAUUAAACCGCUACUGGAAAGUGUAACAAGGGCAAGGACAAGGUAUCGUACCCAUCUGGAGACCAAAAGAAGGAACAGGGAGGCAAAAGACCAGGCUCUCAAGAGGAGGGAAGCAGAGGACUGUCUUGAGGAGCUGAAGGUUAAGAGGAGACGUGUACAGGAGGUAUCUGAGGGUCUGGCUAGGAAUGCGGACAAGAUGGCUGAGGAGGCUGAAGCGAAGGCAGGGAGCAAGAUGGCCGGCCUGAUCACCAGGUCAAACAUUCUGCGGAGAGGCCAUCAGGAGCAGUUGGCAGAACUGGCUCUCCUUGAUAAAGAGAUCGCUGCUAAGAGUGCAGAGCUUAGGAGUUGACUGUGCGAUCAUAAUUUUAUUUAUUGUUGAGUUGAUUUUCAUUGUUUAUUGUUCAGGAGUCUGUGCUGUUGGCGUAAGUACUCACCACUAUGCUGCAAUGUUCCAUCAUUCCAUAAUGCUUUACAGUCCACAUUUUCACAUUUGUUGAAAUAAAUGAACAAAUUUUGAACAAAC
ensembl:lncRNA